UACGAAGGGGGCUAGCGUUGCUCGGAAUCACUGGGCGUAAAGCGCACGUAGGCGGACUCUUAAGUCGGUGGUGAAAUCCUGGAGCUCAACUCCAGAACUGCCUUCGAUACUGGGAGUCUUGAGUCCGGGAGAGGUGAGUGGAACUGCGAGUGUAGAGGUGAAAUUCGUAGAUAUUAGGAAGAACACCAGUGGCGAAGGCGGCUCACUGGCCCGAUACUGACGCUGAUGUACGAAAGCGUGGGGAGCAAACAGG
rnacentral:rRNA from 1 species